GGGGAACUUCUACGAGCGCAUUGUUCAAUACGUUAUGAAGAUUGGAGGAUUGUCCCGGAAAACUUCAAGGAGAAUGUAUGGAAUGGCUUAAUGAGCGAGUUUGAGUUUAAUGCUCCUUCAUACUUGGUACGCCCGAACCUCGAAGUAGCCUUUUCACAGAAGUUCAGAUCAUUCAAAUACCAGCUUCGACAGAAUUAUUUCAGGAUAGACAAAGGUAACGAACAAAUUGAAGCAGCUAUUCAAGCUGGUUUGGAUCCAAAUGCGUGGAAAAGCAAGGAGCAAAUUCUAGCAGAGGUACCGGUGG